CCGUCGAUAGCUCAGUUGGUAGAGCGGUGGACUGUAGAGGUUUUCCCACGCGGACAUCCAUAGGUCGCUGGUUCAAAUCCGGCUCGGCGGA
rnacentral:tRNA from 1 species